GAUGAACGCUAGCGGCGGGCUUAAUACAUGCAAGUCGAGGGGCAGCAGGUUUGUAGCAAUACAGAUGCUGGCGACCGGCAAACGGGUGAGGAACACGUACGCAACUUUCCUUCAAGUGAGGAAUAGCCCAGGGAAACUUGGAUUAAUACUUCGUAAUAUUAUGAGAUGGCAUCAUUUUAUAAUUAUAGCUUCGGCGCUUGAAGAUGGGCGUGCGCCUGAUUAGGUAGUUGGCGGGGUAACGGCCCACCAAGCCGACGAUCAGUAACUGGUGUGAGAGCACGACCAGUCACACGGGCACUGAGACACGGGCCCGACUCCUACGGGAGGCAGCAGUAAGGAAUAUUGGGCAAUGGACGAAAGUCUGACCCAGCCAUGCCGCGUGGAGGAUGAAGGUCCUCUGGAUUGUAAACUUCUUUUAUUUGGGAAGAAAUCUAUGGUUUCUACUGUAGUUGACGGUACCAGAUGAAUAAGCACCGGCUAACUCCGUGCCAGCAGCCGCAGUAAGAC
rnacentral:rRNA from 1 species